GCUAAAAUGUUUUGAUAUUCACUGAACAGACAUGCAAUUGCCUGCAUAGUCCUUUCUUAUUUGAAAGAUGAAUCCCUGUCGCUUGCAAGAUACACAAUCUCAUGCCCAUCGUGCAUAGCUAAUUCAUUGCAUUGGGGAGAGGUGGACGCCGGAUGUAAACAAACGGAGAGGGGGUGUCACGUUGAGUAGCUUUGCAGAUGUAGGCAAAGAGAUUGGCACAUUACUAACGGUGUUGGACUACCAUAAAUUGUUGGGUAGCCAGCCACCCAUGCAUGUUGACACAGCCAGCAGCGGGCACCCAUGGCACAUGGGGAUGGACCCAGGAGUGGAGGAUGACCCAAUAGGAUGAACGUUCAGCCCACUCACUGUUGACACCAGUGACACAGUAUUGACCAGAUCUCCUGGAAGUGCCCCCUGACGCAGACCCAGUUGUUGGGUAGCCACCCAUGCACGUUGACACAGCCAGCACCGAGCACCCAGGGGGAUGGAACCAGGAAUGGAGGAUGGUCCAAUAGGGUAGCAUCAUGAAGGCGGUUUACCCCUGAAACUUUUUACAAAGGACCACCAUCGUCAGAGAAGUUCCUUUAACCCUUAUCUCCCAUAGCGGCCGUGAACGCCCGGCCACCUCUCUCCCAUAACGCCCGCCGACACCCGGAGUAUUUUCAUAGCUGAACAGAAGUCAUCAUGCAGUUUCUACAGCUUUCACUUUAGAUCACUAUUACAGACUCUCAAUAUAUUUUUAUUAUAAAAACUAUUUUGGGAAAUCCUGAACUACAGUGCAAAGUGGCUGAGCUCAAAAGUACGGGCUCGCUGCUGCUGCCCAGUAGAAAAUAUCUUUUAAAUGCAGUACAGUUCCUAAUUGUGCGUUCAUGUGGUAAUUACGUAAAUAUCAAACACUGACAUCCGAAGCACACAUGAACGCCACCGGCCCUAGUAGAAAAUUUUGAUUAAUGAAUGCACUAUAUCUCUUCUCUUGCCUCCCUCUCUUCUCCACAAGCUCUCCCCUCAUCUAUUCUCUUCAUUUUGCUAGUCCUCAUCUCUCUUUCUUCAUUGUGUUACUGUUUAAGCUGAUAACUGUUACUUUUAAAAAUUAAAUAGUUAAAGAUAUUGAAGUUGUCUGUCUUGUGUUACCGUUACCAUGAAGCACAUCAUCUCACAUCUCAAAUGUAUUGUGUAAGUGGUUUGUAAAUAUUUUUGAUGAGAAUAGUAAGAUCUCUCAGAUGUUGCCUCCCAUGCAUAAGCAAUGCUCAACAAGUCAUUUAUUGAUGUUUUGGAAAGCAUGGAAAGAUUUUCAGUUUAAAAGUUCCCCAGAUAUGCCGUAGUAAUGAGUUGUAAGUCCUUGAUAAUGCAUAAGCAAUGCUUAUCAAGUCAUUUGUUAAUGCGUUGUAAAGCUUUAACAGGUUUUCACUUUAGAUCAGUUCCCCAGAUAUA